UACGUAGGGGGCAAGCGUUGUCCGGAUUUAUUGGGCGUAAAGAGCGUGUAGGCGGCCAGGUAGGUCGGUUGUGAAAACUGGAGGCUCAACCUUCAGACGUCGACCGAAACCAUCUGGCUAGAGUCCGGGAGAGGAGAGUGGAAUUCCUGGUGUAGCGGUGAAAUGCGCAGAUAUCAGGAAGAACACCCGUGGCGAAAGCGGCUCUCUGGAACGGUACUGACGCUGAGACGCGAAAGCGUGGGGGGCGAACAGG
rnacentral:rRNA from 1 species